CAGUCUGCAACUCGACUGCACGAAGCUGGAAUCGCUAGUAAUCGCGGAUCAGCACGCCGCGGUGAAUACGUUCCCGGGCCUCGUACACACCGCCCGUCACACCAUGGAAGUCUGCAAUGCCCGAAGCCGGUGGCCUAACCACUUAUGUGGAAGGAGCCGUCUAAGGCAGGGCAGAUGACUGGGGUGAAGUCGUAACAAGGUACC
rnacentral:rRNA from 1 species